rnacentral:rRNA from 1 species
UACGAAGGGGGCUAGCGUUGUCCGGAAUCACUGGGCGUAAAGGGCGCGUAGGUGGCCUGAUAAGUAGGAGGUGAAAUCCUGGGGCUUAACCUCAGGGCUGCCUUCUAGACUGUCCGGCUCGAGCACGGUAGAGGCAGGUGGAAUUCCCGGUGUAGCGGUGGAAUGCGUAGAGAUCGGGAAGAACAUCGGUGGCGAAGGCGGCCUGCUGGGCUGUUGCUGACACUGAGGCGCGACAGCGUGGGGAGCAAACAGG